rnacentral:rRNA from 1 species
UACGGGGGGGGCAAGCGUUGUUCGGAAUUACUGGGCGUAAAGGGCCAGUAGGCGGCCAACUAAGUCCGACGUGAAAUCCCAAGGCUUAACCUUGGAACUGCGUCGGAUACUGGAUGGCUUGAAUUCGGGAGAGGGAUGCAGAAUUCCAGGUGUAGCGGUGAAAUGCGUAGAUAUCUGGAGGAAUACCGGUGGCGAAGGCGGCUUCCUGGACCGACACAGACGCUGAGGCGCGAAAGCUAGGGGAGCAAACGGG